GAUGAACGCUGGCGGCGUGCUUAACACAUGCAAGUCGAACGAUGAAGCCCAGCUUGCUGGGUGGAUUAGUGGCGAACGGGUGAGUAACACGUGAGUAACCUGCCCUGGACUCUGGGAUAACCCCGAGAAAUCGGAGCUAAUACCGGAUAGGACCUUCUCCCGCAUGGGGGUUGGUGGACAGGUUUUCGGUUUGGGAUGGACUCGCGGUCUAUCAGCUUGUUGGUGAGGUAACGGCGCACCAAGGCGUCGACGGGUAGCCGGCCUGAGAGGGUGACCGGCCACACUGGGACUGAGACACGGCCCAGACUCCUACGGGAGGCAGCAGUGGGGAAUAUUGCACAAUGGGCGCAAGCCUGAUGCAGCAACGCCGCGUGCGGGAUGACGGCCUUCGGGUUGUAAACCGCUUUUAGUAGGGAAGAAGGGCUUCGGCUUGACGGUACCUGCAGAAAAAGGACCGGCUAACUACGUGCCAGCAGCCGCAGUAACAC
rnacentral:rRNA from 1 species